rnacentral:misc_RNA from 1 species
GAUGAAGAACGUAGCGAAAUGCGAUAAGUAGUGUGAAUUGCAGAAUUCAGUGAAUCAUCGAAUCUUUGAACGCACAUUGCGCCCCUUGGUAUUCCAUGGGGCAUGCCUGUUCGAGCGUCAUUUGUACCUUCAAGCUUUGCUUGGUGUUGGGUGUUUGUCUCGCCUUUGCGUGUAGACUCGCCUUAAAAUAAUUGGCAGCCGGCGUAUUGAUUUCGGAGCGCAGUACAUCUCGCGCUUUGCACUCAUAACGACAGCGUCCAAAAGUACAUUUUACACUCUUGACCUCGGAUCAGGUAGGGAUACCGCUGAACUUAAGCAUAUCAAUAAGCGGAGGA